CAGACUGAGUGAAGAGUGAGAGAGGAGUUAGGCAGGGCUGUAUAUUGUCACCAACCCUUUUUAGCCUGUAUACAGAGGAGGUAGCAGCCAGGAUGAGAAGAAUGAAUGUAGGGGAGUUGUCGAUCCAAAGGCCUGACUCAGGAGUGAUCCUGUGCCACCUACACCAUCAAGAUCAAGAUCAAGACAACAGUUCCCUCGUGUUUACUACCACAGUGCAUAGAAAUCUUAUCUUUUUUCGCAAAUUUCCCAAGUAAUUCCCCACCCCGGAGGCCGCCCCCAGUACCCCAGUUCCCUGCAUCCAUGGUUUAUAUUGUUAUUCUUCAAGAGGUGAGAGAGGCAAGGGACGAGAGACGCAAGGGAGAGAAGCAAGGGAGAGAGACAGAGUUGACCCGUGUGGCUCCUCUCUGGUGGUGAAAGCAAGUGACGGCAAGAUGGUGAUGGUGACCCUGCCCAACCCCCUCCAGGAAAACUUGGAGGAUGUGAUUGAGGUGCAGGGUGUGGGUCAGGGGCAGAAGGUGACGUGCCAGAGUGACGUCACGUUCCCCCAAAUGCAGGCCGGCAAGUUUGCUGACGUCACCAGUCGUCAGUGCACGGCGGGUGCUGCAAGGGGAACUGCAGGAGGUGGACCUGUUCAGCACCUCAUCCCUCCCUGCCCUCUCCCCUGACAGGAGCAUGCCAGACCCAGGGGUGCCCAAGGAAACGACAAGGGGCACUACCUCUAUGCAGACAAAACCUAACCAACCAGCUUAACCUGAGUCGCCCCUGGAACCGCCCCACCACAGAGGAGGAGGAGGAGGAGGAGGAGGAGGAGGAGACAGUCAUGGAUGAAGGGACGUCACAGAUCAUGCACAUUUGCUUCCAUAUUGGGUGAGAGACUGCAUUGUUUGUGAAGAAGACGAGGAGGAAGAUAGUUUUUCAUCUCAAUUGCACAGAAUAUUCAAUAAUUGGUCUGUUUCAUGAAGCUCCUGUAUUGCUGAGUCAUUAGAGAGCCUUAAAAGAAGACAGUCAGAUUUAUGGAUGGGGAUGACAGGUGAAAAUAGACAGGUGUUUUUUGUACAGGGACUUCCACGUGGAUAGAGGAUCAACCUGCCAACCAAGUGAGUAUGUGUGAGUAUUUGUGAGACAGACAGACAGACAGACAGACAGACAGAGAGAGAGAGAGGGAGGGAUAGACUGACAGAGAUGCAGAGAGAGAGAGAGAGAGUUUUAGACAGACAGAGAGAGAGAGAGGCAUACAUUGACAGAGAGAGAGAUAGACAGAGGCAGGGUUAGACAGACCAAGAGGCAUACACUGACAGAGAGACAGACAGAGACAGGGAUAAAGUAACAGAGAUGGAGAGAGAAAGAGACAAACAGAGACAUUGAGAGAUAUUUCAGGGUGUGUGUGUGUGUGUGUGUGUGUGUGUGUGUGUGUGUUGAUUUAUGAAGAAGAUGGCAAAUAGUGGGAAUUUUCUUAUGUGUUUUGUACUUUAUUUUCUUUGCUUCAUUCAUUUUUUUUCCCUUGUUUUUUUUUUCCAUCUCAAUUUCAUUCAUGUUUUUCCUUUCUCCUUCUCUCUCUAUUCCUUUAUUUUUUUCCUUUCAUCUAUAUACUUCAGGUUGCGGUGGAAACUGGCGUACAGCUGUGCCUGAGCCUGCCGUGGAUGCAUUCCCAGCCCCCGAACUGAACGGUCAACCUGCCGCCAAUCUCAACUUCAACCAGAACAGCUCGGACACGGCUGGCCAGGACAACCACCGCAACACAGACAUGCAUGCACCUGAUAUGGACAUGAAAAUGGAGGGACAGGAGUCCCACGUGAUGGUGUCCGACAGUGACGCCUCAGUGCAGGAGGGGGAACGGCAGGCAGAGACCCGCAAGUGCCCCUGGGAGAAGCCUGGAGUUAACCGAGCCAAUGAAAGCAGAAUCAAACUUUCCAUUCCAGUCAACUGAACCUGUGAAAGUUCCCAAUCCGGCCAAGCAGGUCCCAGAAGGUGCGGCGUCCAUGCACCCCGUGAUGGUGCUGCACCAGAUGAAGCCUGGCCUGCUGUACAACACUAACCAGACCACCAGGGAUAACAAGCCUUUCUUCACCGUCACCGCCGACAUCGAUGGCAAGGAGUUCUCAGGCGAGGGGACAAAUGUGAAGAAAGCCAAGUUCUUCCUGGCCAACACAGCAAUACUGGGACUGUACGGGGUAGAAUCCACCUUUGAGAUCUCCGCUUAAUGGAAGUACUAGCUGCCUGGGUACUGGCGGCGGUGUGCGGGGCAGGCGGUCCCUCGCACACGUGGCUGUAGAGUCUGCUACGUGAUAAUGACAAAGUAGAUAGGUAGCUACAUAGUAUUUUAACCUGAAGUCCUGUCUGUGAGUGUUGUCUUGUAUGUUGCUGCUUGCUGAAGGCAGGGAAUGUACUGAACUGGACCUGAGUGGCUUACAAAACUCCUGUGGAAGGGAAGUGAUGGUCUGUGCUAAAUGUUGCAGUCUGACGAGUGACGUGGAAUUCAAUUUUUCCACGUGUAAAUUCUUCCAGUCCAGUGUUUACCUUUAUUUUGUUCCAGCUCUGUUACUUAGUGCCAGAGUUAGAAGACUGACAUUUAACGGAAUUCUUAUUUAUGAUUUUGACGUACUUUCUUUUCCUAUUUAUUUACUUAGCCCAUGAAGUGUGGGUGCUCCUUGUAAAUGGUCGGUGCUGAGCCUGCCAUGAAUGCAAAUCAAAUGCAGCUGAUUGUGAAAGACAGGCACAGGAGAAGGGGUCAGUCACUCAUUCCUGCUUGUGUCAGAUCACUCAUCUAGUGUUCUGCUGUGGAGUGGAGUGGGUGAUGAGAGGGCUGUGGUGAUGGGACAGUGACAGACAAGCCCUACUUACUGAAAACAAAAGUGUGCGAACUCAUCACAUCAACACUUAUUUAGCUUCCUGACAAAAAUGGCAUCCAGUUUCAGAUGUUUAAGGUAUUUAACUCAUCUAUUUAUUUAAAGGUACCCACUCUUUAUGGGUUAAAUGAAAGCUGUACUCUAGUUUAGCAGUCAGUCUCACCACUUGGUUUAAUGUGAGCAGGUAAGGAAGCCCUAGAACCUGGCCCUUGGUUAGGUUCUGGUGACUUCUGGCUGGAAUCUCAGUACCUUAAUUUCUCUUCUGGUUGAAACUUUCUCCUCAAACACAACUGGCUGGAGCUGAGUCCUGGGAUGGUCAGCUGUUUAAAUAUUACUACACAAAAUGUUAUGAGUUUGAAUACAUAAUGAAAAUUUCUUUAAUGUGUAUGUAUGUAAAGGUUAUAAAAGCAAGUAUUUUUUUUCUUUUUCAAUUUUUGUAUAUAAUUGAGGUUAAGAUUAAUUUGAAACAUUGAUUGCAAUUUAUCAAGCUGGUGUUUUUGGUUUUGAAGGAAGUGUAAGUGCAAGAGGUAUGAAUUUGAAACAUUGAUUGCAAUUUAUCAAGCUGGUGUUUUUGGUUUUGAAGGAAGUGUAAGUGCAAGAGGUAUGAAUUUGAAACAUUGAUUGCAAUUUAUCAAGCUGGUGUUGGUUUUGGUUUUGAAGGAACUGUAAUUGUGCAAGAGGUAAUCAUUUGAUCAGAGUGGAAUUAAUGAAGCAGUUUACCACACCAGUAUUGUCAUUCCUGCUCCCUGUGUGUCCACCUUACCUCUUACACCCUGACGUUUGCCUCAACGCCUUCAUUUAUCACCAAUGCAGUUAGGUAAAUCAUCACUUAUUACUAUUUUCUCAUAUGAAUUCAGAAACACUGUCAGCUUAUCAAAUAGUGUAUCUGUUAAUAUAACCUUUUGUAGGCAACUUGUCCUGUAACCACCUAUGACAUUUUAGGCUCAUUUUUGUACCAGCCUCUUCAACAGUUCUAUAGCUUAUGGAAAACUAAAUUAACUUCCUAUUCUCUCAUUUCCUCUGUCCAUACCAGCAGUUCUCAUAGUACUCUCAAUGUUGAAGGAUGAUAGCAGUCCAAGGGCAGAGCUAGUGAGUUUCUUUGAGUCUCCCCAAUAAUUGUUUUCUUUUGUAGCUUGCGGUGAAGAGGAGGAUAAUAGCGGUAAUUAAAGGUUUAGUGAUUAUAUGAAAAAAGUAUUUUUAUAAGGCGUGUAUUCGUGGGAGUGAUUUAAAAGUCUUGAAACAUUUAUUAUAAAUAGUCUUUACUUAUUUCAACUGUAGUUUUCUCUAAUCAAUGGUAAUACGAAUAAUAGAAUUACAUCAUGUUGCGUCAGCCUACCAGUAACUCAUAAGGUAUCAUACCCUAGCUUAUAAAAUAUGUUAGUAAUUUAGAAUUCAAUUAUUAACUUCAACUAAUGUCCAGCCUAUAUGCUCACCUUGCUAGCCAAUUAUUCCUGCAUUUUUAUUUAAACUCACGGUUCAGUAAAAUUAUUUGUGAAAGAAGAGAGAGAGAGAGAACUAGCUAAGGUUCCAAUAACUUCAGAUGCCUGUGGGUGUUGAGGGAGAGAGCACAAAAUGGCGUCUCCCUUCCCUCUGGCAACAGGUGGGUCUCGUAGCUCUGAAAUAUUUGAUUUUUCUUUUAUUUAGAAGUGAAUAUUACUGUUCAUGUUUAUUAUUCAUGUCUAGUGAAGAUAUAGUGACUGUACGUGUUGACAGAAUGGCGUCUCCCUUCCCUCUGGCAACAGUGUUGCCACGGUGACGGUGGUGGUGGACAUGACACAGAUGCGGGAGGUGGAGUUUGUGCCCGAUGGAGACAUGCAGCUGGACAAAUUGUGUUGGUCAUUGGUCAGACUGGAGUUUACAUGUGUACCUCCUUCACCAUCAUUGGUGGACACUUCACCAUGAGUGAUGCUUGAGCUGUCACGGUGUUGCUGGUGCUGUGUGCCAUCAUCACCCUGACACAGACCACCCUGCAGACACCUUCAUCCUGGGUGCCACACGUCGCUGCUGCUACAACUCAGAGCAACAAGAGCACAAGCCAGGAAGGGAAAUGGUAACUUCUCACUUAAUUUGUUGUUUAUUUGAGGGCCUAAUGACAAAGACAUAAUGGAAUGAGUAUUUGUGAAUGUUUGUUUAUAUCUAGAUACACCAACAAGUGAUGGUGUGGCUCUGAGCCACUGUAGUAGGGAUGUUAUUUAAGGGUAGGAAGUUGCAAAUGCUCACCUAACAAUUGCACCUUAGUAGAAAAACACAAACAGGAAAUUUAUGCAAGUUUUUAUCCUUAUAUAAAAUGUUGUAUUGCAUCAAACCUCCAUACAUUACUGUCU